UACAGAGGGGGCAAGCGUUAUUCGGAAUUAUUGGGCGUAAAGGGCGCGUAGGCGGUCGUGCAAGUGGAAGGUGAAAUCCCUCGGCUCAACCGAGGAACUGCCUUUCAAACUGCAUGACUUGAGUCCGGGAGAGGUGAGUGGAAUUCCCAGUGUAGCGGUGAAAUGCGUAGAUAUUGGGAGGAACACCAGUGGCGAAGGCGGCUCACUGGACCGGAACUGACGCUGAGGCGCGAAAGCGUGGGGAGCAAGCGGG
rnacentral:rRNA from 1 species